CAGCAAAUCAAAAAAUAGAAAAAAGAAAAAUGUUAAAUAAAAAAGGAUUCGGGGGAUUUUAUUUCGGAUAAGAAAAGAGGGGAACUCGUUGUAAAGGACGGAUGGUAUCAAAAAAAAAGAUGAAAUAAUACAAAAAAAUUGAAAAGAAUGUAUUUUCUGCUUCUUUUUUUUGAUUCGGUUCUUUUUUCCGAUUCGGUUCUUUUUUCCGAUUCAUUUUUUCUUUCCUUUUCCUUUUUUCAUCAGCUAUAUAUAUAAGGAUAGAUCUAAAAAGGGGGUUGGAAAUUACCUGUUAACGGCGCCGAUGAAGCAUUCUUCUCCUCCGGGCUAAUCGGAGUUGACUGGGCGAAGGCGAGGGGGCUCUCGAGCGGCCUGUUGCUGGAACGGCGCAAAAUGGAGG
rnacentral:lncRNA from 1 species